GGUUGCUCAGUGGUAGAGUGCUUGCCUUGCAUGCAUGAGGCCCUGGGUUCAAUUCCUCAGUACCA
rnacentral:tRNA from 1 species